AAAAUUUAAAUUAUAUAAAAAAGUAACGAGACUCCUAUGUGAUAUAAUAUUAAUAAUUAAAAAUUAUAGGUAUAUAUAUGUUCUCUUUAAUUAACUAAUAAUCGAUCUCCUACCCAAUCUUAUAUUAACUCUGUCGAGUCAUUAAUUUCUUGUAUAAUCAUAUUCGGUAAAUUUGAAGAUGGAGCAAUCAAAAUUUAAACUUUUGUUUUCAAGUGUAAGUAGUUCGUUCUUUGUAAAAAUAUUCAUAAUUAAAUAAAUAAACUUUUGUUUUAUUUUCAUAAAGAUAUAUUUUGAAGAACUUGCAAAAUUGUCGAUGAACAUAUAGAUUCUUUGAUUUUCUCUUCGAUUUCUUGUAUUAUAA
rnacentral:lncRNA from 1 species